GACGAACGCUGGCGGCGUGCUUAACACAUGCAAGUCGAACGGAAAGGCCCUGCUUUUGUGGGGUGCUCGAGUGGCGAACGGGUGAGUAACACGUGAGUAACCUGCCCUUGACUUUGGGAUAACUUCAGGAAACUGGGGCUAAUACCGGAUAGGAGCUCCUGCUGCAUGGUGGGGGUUGGAAAGUUUCGGCGGUUGGGGAUGGACUCGCGGCUUAUCAGCUUGUUGGUGGGGUAGUGGCUUACCAAGGCUUUGACGGGUAGCCGGCCUGAGAGGGUGACCGGCCACAUUGGGCCUGAGAUACGGCCCAGACUCCUACGGGAGGCAGCAGUGGGGAAUAUUGCACAAUGGGCGGAAGCCUGAUGCAGCAACGCCGCGUGCGUGAUGACGGCCUUCGGGUUGUAAACCGCUUUCGCCUGUGACGAAGCGUGAUUGACGGUAAUGGGUAAAGAAGCACCGGCUAACUACGUG
rnacentral:rRNA from 1 species